UUAAGUUCAGCGGGUAUCCCUACCUGAUCCGAGGUCAACCAUUGAAAAAUAAACGUUGUCCGGCUGGAACGCCCGGGUGGCUCGAAGCGGGAGUCGUUACUACGCUCGAUCACCGGCCGCACCGCCGCUGCUUUCCAGGCGCGUCCCGGGGGACGCGCCCAAUACCAAGCCGGGCUUGAGGGUUGAAAUGACGCUCGAAC
rnacentral:misc_RNA from 1 species